rnacentral:rRNA from 1 species
UACGUAGGGCGCAAGCGUUGUCCGGAAUUAUUGGGCGUAAAGAGCUCGUAGGCGGCCUGUUGCGUCCGCUGUGAAAUCCCGGGGCUUAACCCCGGGCUUGCAGUGGAUACGGGCAGGCUGGAGGCAGGCAGGGGAGAACGGAAUUCCCGGUGUGAGCGGUGAAAUGCGCAGAUAUCGGGAGGAACACCGGUGGCGAAGGCGGUUCUCUGGGCCUGUACUGACGCUGAGGAGCGAAAGCGUGGGGAGCGAACAGG